AAUGAAUUGGAGGCUACAAAAGGGAAGAGAUCAGCUGACAUGAAAGCAGAGUCGAAGGCAUGAACAAGAGAGGCAGACCAUUCAAGAAUCUUAGAGACUCAGAAAACUUAUAAGAAAACAAGAUAAAGAAAGAAGUAAAGAAAAAGAAUAAAGGAGAGAGAAGAGAAAGAAGAUGGGAGAGAGCUACUGUCUUGAUGUUAUGGCUUGCUGGCAGUGUUGGAAGGCCAACCCAGAAGGGGAUCCAAGUUACAUGUACAAACAAUGAGAGUUAUGAACAGAAAGGAAGAGGCGGAGAGGAAGGAGUGAAGACAGAGGAGACG